rnacentral:rRNA from 1 species
UGAGGAAUAUUGCGCAAUGGACGAAAGUCUGACGGAGCAACGCCGCGUGAGUGAUGAAGGUUUUCGGAUCGUAAAGCUCUGUUGUUAGGGAAGAACAAGUACCGUUCGAAUAGGGCGGCACCUUGACGGUACCUAACCAGAAAGCCACGGCUAACUACGUGCCAGCAGCCGCGGUAAUACGUAGGUGGCAAGCGUUGCCCGGAAUUAUUGGGCGUAAAGGGCUCGCAGGCGGUUUCUUAAGUCUGAUGUGAAAGCCCCCGGCUCAACCGGGGAGGGUCAUUGGAAACUGGGGAACUUGGGUGCAGAAGAGGAGAGUGGAAUUCCACGUGUAGCGGUGAAAUGCGUAGAGAUGUGGAGGAACACCAGUGGCGAAGGCGACUCUCUGGUCUGUAACUGACGCUGAGGAGCGAAAGCGUGGGGAGCGAACA